UACGGAGGGUGCAAGCGUUGUCCGGAAUCACUGGGCGUAAAGGGCGCGUAGGCGGCUCAUGAAGGCUGUGGUGAAAGUCCGGGGCUCAACCUCGGAUCGGCCGUGGCGACUCGUGGGCUGGAGCACUGUAGAGGCGGGUGGAAUUCCGGGUGUAGCGGUGGAAUGCGUAGAGAUUUGGAGGAACACCAGUGGCGAAGGCGACUUUCUGGUCUGUAACUGACGCUGAGGCGCGAAAGCAUGGGGAGCAAACAGG
rnacentral:rRNA from 1 species